GUCAGCGGCCAGAGGAUCCGGGUUCCACCCGUACCCAUUCCGAACACGGAAGUUAAACCGGAUUCCGUUUCCGAUUGUACUCAAGUGGGAAACCCUUGGGGAAGUCGGGAAAGCUGCUGGCG
rnacentral:rRNA from 1 species